rnacentral:rRNA from 1 species
GACGAACGCUGGCGGCGUGCUUAACACAUGCAAGUCGAACGGAAAGGCCCUGCUUUUGUGCGGUGCUCGAGCGCCGAACGGGUGAGUAACACGUGUGUAACCUCCCCUUGACUUUGGGAUAACUUCAGGAAACUCGGGCUAUUAUCGGAUAGGAGCUCCUGCUGCACGGUGUGGGUUGGAAAGUUUCGGCGGUUGGGGAUGGACUCGCGGCUUAUCAGCUUGUUGGUGGGGUAGUGGCUUACCAAGGCUUUGACGGAUAGCCGGCCUGAGAGGGUGACCGGCCACAUUGGGACUGAGGUACGGGCCAGACUCCUACGGGAGGCAGCGGUGGAAAAUAUUGCGCAGUGGGCGGAAGCCUGAUGCAGCGGCGCCGCGUGCGGGAAGACGGCCUUCGGGUUGUAAACCGCUUUGGACUGUGACGAAGCGUGAGUGACGGUAACUGGUAAAGAAGCACCGGCUAACUACGUG